AACGCACAUUGCGCCCUCUGGUAUUCCGGGGGGCAUGCCUGUUCGAGCGUCAUUAUAACCCUCAAGCUUAGCUUGGUAUUGGGUGUCGUCCCCUUAGGGGGAUGCACCUGGAAAUUAGCGGCGGUGCGGCCGGUGAUCAAGCGUAGUAAUUACUCCCGCUUAGAGACACCCGGGUGUGCCAGCCGGACAACCUCCCCAAAUUUUUCAAUGGUUGACCUCGGAUCAGGUAGGGAUACCCGCUGAACUUAA
rnacentral:misc_RNA from 1 species